rnacentral:piRNA from 1 species
UAUGGAGCAGCUCCUUUUGAGGAUCUU